rnacentral:rRNA from 1 species
AGAGUUUGAUCAUGGCUCAGAACGAACGCUGGCGGCAUGCCUAACACAUGCAAGUCGAACGAAGCCUUCGGGCUUAGCGACGCACGGGUGCGUAACACGUGGGAAUCUGCCCUUCGGUUCGGAAUAACAGUUAGAAAUGACUGCUAAUACCGGAUGAUGACGUAAGUCCAAAGAUUUAUCGCCGAAGGAUGAGCCCGCGUAGGAUUAGGUAGUUGGUAGGGUAAUGGCCUACCAAGCCGACGAUCCUUAGCUGGUCUGAGAGGAUGAUCAGCCACACUGGGACUGAGACACGGCCCAGACUCCUACGGGAGGCAGCAGUGGGGAAUAUUGGACAAUGGGCGAAAGCCUGAUCCAGCAAUGCCGCGUGAGUGAUGAAGGCCUUAGGGUUAUAAAGCUCUUUUACCAGGGAUGAUAAUGACAGUACCUGGAGAAUAAGCUCCGGCUAACUCCGUG